GUGCCAGCAGCCUGCGGUAAUUCCAGCUCCAAUAGCGUAUAUUAAAGUUGUUGUGGUUAAAAAGCUCGUAGUUGAACCUUGGGCCUGGCUGGCCGGUCCGCCUCACCGCGUGCACUGGUCCGGCCGGGCCUUUCCCUCUGUGGAACCCCAUACCCUUCACUGGGCGUGGCGGGGAAACAGGACAUUUACUUUGAAAAAAUUAGAGUGCUCCAGGCAGGCCUAUGCUCGAAUACAUUAGCAUGGAAUAAUAAAAUAGGACGCGCGGUUCUAUUUUGUUGGUUUAUAGGACCGCCGUAAUGAUUAAUAGGGACAGUCGGGGGCAUCAGUAUUCAACUGUCAGAGGUGAAGUUCUUGGAUCAGUUGAAGACUAACUACUGCGAAAGCAUUUGCCAAGGAUGUUUUCAUUAAUCAGGAACGAAAGUUAGGGGAUCGAAGACGAUCAGAUACCGUCGUAGUCUUAACCAUAAACUAUGCCGACUAGGGAUCGGACGGUGUUAUUCAUGACCCGUUCGGCACCUUACGAGAAAUCAAAGUGCUUGGGCUCCAGGGGGAGUAUGGUCGCAAGGCUGAAACUUAAAGAAAUUGACGGAAGGGCACCACCAGGGGUGGAGCCUGCGGCUUAAUUUGACUCAACACGGGGAAACUCACCAGGUCCAGACACAAUAAGGAUUGACAGAUUGAGAGCUCUUUCUUGAUUUUGUGGGUGGUGAUGCAUGGCCGUUCUUAGUUGGUGGGGUGACUUGUCUGCUUAAUUGCGAUACGAACGAGACCUUAACUGCUAAAUAGCCCGCAUUGCUCCGGCAGUGCGCUGGCUUCUUAGAGGACUUUC
rnacentral:rRNA from 1 species